rnacentral:rRNA from 1 species
UACGAAGGGUGCAAGCGUUACUCGGAAUUACUGGGCGUAAAGCGUGCGUAGGUGGUUUGUUAAGUCUGAUGUGAAAGCCCUGGGCUCAACCUGGGAAUUGCAUUGGAUACUGGCAGGCUAGAGUGCGGUAGAGGAUGGCGGAAUUCCCGGUGUAGCAGUGAAAUGCGUAGAGAUCGGGAGGAACACCGAUGGCGUAGGCAGGGUACUGGCCUAUUACUGACACUAAGGCACGAAAGCGUGGGGAGCGAACGGG